rnacentral:rRNA from 1 species
UACGUAGGGUGCAAGCGCUACUCGGAAUUACUGGGCGUAAAGCGUGCGCAGGCGGUUCUUUAAGUCAGAUGUGAAAUCCCCGGGCUCAACCUGGGAACUGCAUUUGUGACUGCAUAGCUAGAGUACGGUAGAGGGGGAUGGAAUUCCGCGUGUAGCAGUGAAGUGCGUAGAUAUGCGGAGGAACACCGAUGGCGAAGGCAAUCCCCUGGACCUGUACUGACGCUCAUGCACGAAAGCGUGGGGAGCAAACAGG